rnacentral:ncRNA from 2 species
GAGCUGGGUUUAGACCGU